rnacentral:rRNA from 1 species
CAGUAGCCGCGGUAAAACGUAGGGCGCAAGCGUUGUCCGGAAUUAUUGGGCGUAAAGAGCUCGUAGGCGGUCUGUCGCGUCUGGUGUGAAAUCCCGAGGCUCAACCUCGGGCUUGCAUCGGGUACGGGCAGACUAGAGUGCGGUAGGGGAGACUGGAAUUCCUGGUGUAGCGGUGGAAUGCGCAGAUAUCAGGAGGAACACCGAUGGCGAAGGCAGGUCUCUGGGCCGCAACUGACGCUGAGGAGCGAAAGCAUGGGGAGCGAACAGGAUUAGAGACCCCCGUAGUCCCUGUCUCUUAUAC